CGAGCGAAUGAAACUCCUUCGGGAGUGGAUUUAGCGGCGGACGGGUGAGUAACACGUGGGCAACCUGCCUCAUAGAGGGGAAUAGCCUUUCGAAAGGAAGAUUAAUACCCCAUAAGAUUGUAGAUUCGCAUGAAUUAGCAAUUAAAGGAGCAAUCCGCUAUGAGAUGGGCCCGCGUCGCAUUAGCUAGUUGGUAAGGUAAUGGCUUACCAAGGCGACGAUGCGUAGCCGACCUGAGAGGGUGAUCGGCCACAUUGGGACUGAGACACGGCCCAGACUCCUACGGGAGGCAGCAGUGGGGAAUAUUGCACAAUGGGGGAAACCCUGAUGCAGCAACGCCGCGUGAGUGAUGACGGUCUUCGGAUUGUAAAGCUCUGUCUUCAGGGACGAUAAUGACGGUACCUGAGGAGGAAGCCACGGCUAACUACGUGCCAGCAGCCGCGGUAAUACGUAGGUGGCAAGCGUUGUCCGGAUUUACUGGGCGUAAAGGGAGCGUAGGCGGAUUUUUAAGUGGGAUGUGAAAUACUCGGGCUCAACCUGAGUGCUGCAUUCCAAACUGGAAGUCUAGAGUGCAGGAGAGGAGAGUGGAAUUCCUAGUGUAGCGGUGAAAUGCGUAGAGAUUAGGAAGAACACCAGUGGCGAAGGCGACUCUCUGGACUGUAACUGACGCUGAU
rnacentral:rRNA from 1 species